AUGCCAGACUCCUACGGGAGGCAGCAGUGGGGAAUAUUGCACAAUGGGGGAAACCCUGAUACAGCGACGCCGCGUGAGUGAAGAAGUAUUUCGGUAUGUAAAGCUCUAUCAGCAGGGAAGAUAAUGACGGUACCUGAGUAAGAAGCCCCGGCUAACUACGUGCCAGCAGCCGCGGUAAUACGUAGGGGGCAAGCGUUAUCCGGAUUUACUGGGUGUAAAGGGAGCGUAGACGGCAUGGCAAGUCUGAAGUGAAAGCCCGGGGCUCAACCGCGGGACUGCUUUGGAAACUGUUAAGCUGGAGUGCAGGAGAGGUAAGUGGAAUUCCUAGUGUAGCGGCGAAGUGCGUAGAUAUUAGGAGGAACACCAGUGGCGAAGGCGGCUUACUGGACUGUAACUGACGUUGAGGCUCGAAAGCGUGGGGAGCAAACAGGAUUAGAUACCCUUGUA
rnacentral:rRNA from 1 species